ACUCCGGUUGAUCCUGCCGGACCUCACUGCUAUCGGGGGGAGACUAAGCCAUGCAAGUCUAGGCCCAUAGCCACCUGUGGGCCUGGCGUACGGCUCAGUAACACGUGGCCAACCUACCCUGAGGAGGCGGAUAACACCGGGAAACUGGUGCAUAAACCGCCAUAGGUGAGAGGAUCUGGAACGACCUCUCGCCGAAAGAUGUACACGGGGAUGCCUGUGUACAUGCCUCAGGAUGGGGCUGCGGCCCAUCAGGUAGUUGGUGGGGUAACGGCCCACCAAGCCUAUAACGGGUACGGGCCCUGAGAGGGGGAGCCCGGAGAUGGACUCUGAGACAAGAGUCCAGGCCCUACGGGGCGCAGCAGGCGCGAAACCUCCGCAAUGCGCUCACGCGUGACGGGGUCACCCCGAGUGCCACCCUCGUGGUGGCUUUUGCGCAGUGUAAAAAGCUGCGCGAAUAAGCGGGGGGCAAGACGGGUGUCAGCCGCCGCGGUAAUACCCGCUCCGCGAGUGGUGAGGACUAUUACUGGGCUUAAAGCGUCCGUAGCCGGCUCGGCGUGCUCCGCGUUAAAUCCAGCAGCCUAACUGCUGGGCCGCGCGGAUGACUGCCGGGCUUGGGGGUGGGAGAGGGCAGCGGUAUUCCCGGGGUAGGGGUAAAAUCCACUGAUCCCGGGAGGACCACCAGUGGCGAAGGCGGCUGCCCAGAACACGCCCGACGGUGAGGGACGAAAGCUGGGGGAGCGAUCGGGAUUAGAUACCCCGGUAGUCCCAGCCGUAAACGAUGCGGGCUUGGCGUCGGAGCGGCUACGAGCCGUUCCGGUGCAGAAGGGAAACCAUUAAGCCCGCCGCCUGGGGAGUACGGCCGCAAGGCUGAAACUUAAAGGAAUGGAGGGUGAUCUGGGUAGGGGGUGUAUGCAGGGACUACGUGGUGAUGUUUGCUAUGCUAUCGGCGCUCUCCGAGAUGGAAGCAUAGAGAUACGCGUGGGCAAGAACUAUGAAAUAAGAUAUAAUCAACGUUGUUACCACUGGCUUGUUGAGCUACAGCGAAUAUUCUAUGAGCACUAUGGUGUGCGUGGUUCUAUACGACCUUGGAUUCGCGGAACGUAUAUGCUGCGGAUAAAUGAUAAGAAUACAACACUAGAAUUCGCGGACCUUUGUGAAUAUAAAACACCACAAAGAGAAUGGACUACCCCAUCAAUAAUUAAACAACAGACGUUGGGACAACAAUUAUGUUAUGUUCAGGGUUUUUGGGAUGCUGAGGGGGGACUUCCUCAUAAUCCUUCACAGAGCUCUCAAUUUUAUCUAUCAUUUGACCAAGAGAAUUAUGAAGCGCUAAACUUCAUUCGUUCUGUAUUAUUGAAACUUAACUUUAAUCCCACCAACAUAACACGAACUGGGAAAUGUUGGCAGUUCCGACUCACUCGAAAAGAAGAAAUUAUCAGAUAUGCACGGGAGAUAUCCACCCGGCAUCCUGAUAAGCAAUCCCGCAUGCGCUCCCUAACCCAGCUUCUCCUCCCCUGAAUUGGCGGGGGAGCACCACAAGGGGUGGACGUUGCGGCUUAAUUGGAGUCAACGCCGGAAACCUUACCGGGGGCGACAGCAGGAUGAUGGCCAGGUUAAAGGCCUUGCCGGACGAGCUGAGAGGAGGUGCAUGGCCGUCGCCAGUGCGUGCCGUGAGGUGUCCUGUUAAUUCAGGCAACGGACGAGACCCGCGCCUCCAGUUGCGACCGGGCCGAAAGGCGCCGAGCACUCUGGAGGGACUGCCCCGGAAACGGGGAGGAAGGAGCGGGCUACGGCAGGUCAGUAUGCCCCGAAUCCCCCGGGCCGCACGCGACGUUCAAUGGUGGGGACAGUGGGCUGCGACCCCGAAAGGGGAAGCCAAUCCCUAAACCCCACCUCAGUAGGGAUCGAGGGUUGCAACUCGCCCUCGUGAACGCGGAAUCCCUAGUAACCGCCCGUUACCACCGGGCGGUGAAUACGUCCCCGCUCCUUGCACACACUGCCCGUCGCUGCACCCGAGCUGGAACUGGGCGAGGGCCCGUCUUGUUGGCGGGUUCGAGCCCGGUUCUGGUGAGGGGGCAGAAGUCGUAACAAGGUGGCCGCACGGGAACGUGUGGCCGGAUCACCUCCU
rnacentral:rRNA from 1 species